UUGCAGUACGGUUUUGAGAUAAAAUCUUAUGGUUGGAAUUGUAAAAUUUUGCAUAGAACAUUGUUUUGUUUUAUGUUUUACUAUUCUUGAAUUAUUAAUUUUGUAAAAGAUUUCGUAAGAUCUAUAAUUAUUAAAAGAAUUUUUGUAACGCUGCAGUUGACUAUAAACUGUCGGCUAACAUUGCUCUCCAAAAAGCGCGCGCAAUGCUGCUGCAUUGCUACGCAUAUUACAAGAGCUGGUCAAGUUUGCCGAAUUGAGAAGGUGAGACAUUGACCACGGAGCCAACAGUUAUCAACUAUUAUGGCCAGCUUUACAUUGGAGGAAUUCAUUUGAAGAAGUUUUAGCAGCUACCUGGCUGCUAAACCCAUUCUUCACAAAAUGCUGAGACAGAGGCCUCUCCCUGCGAUCUCCAAUUACCCCUGUUCCCUCGCCAGAACAGGAAUUGGCGUCCCUGGUCCAGUAUUCGGCCACUGCCCCCCUAAUGACUCCUGCAAUUAAACCAUGGCCCUCAGUCCCCAGUCAAACCCAUCUCUGGGUCCGGACAGGCCACCACUGAAAGACUGUUACACGUAAUAUAUGGGCCUACUUGAAAAAUGGAUUUCUGGGUCACGGUUUAGUCCACUGAUGUCCUCUUGAUUAGCUGUCAGUCCUGCAAGCCUGUCACUCCUAUAGCCACGACAUUAAGACAGUGUUCUCAUAAAGAUAACAAUGACUAUGGCCAUUCCCACCUCCAGCUAUUGCUAUGAAUCUGGAACCUAUCCUUGCCACUAGUAUUGUGUGCUUUAGAGCACUACAGAACACCUAAAGAGGAAGGCCACAUUCUGGUUUGGUCCUUCCUAAACAGAUUCAAUUUUAUUACCAUUUUAGGUAUAUACACAGUAUUGAUCUGCAAGAAGAGGUCUGGAAGUCAAAAGUACAAUGAGACAUCACGUGCACAUUGUAUGAAUGAAAACAAGCUAUGCAGAAAUGGCAUAGAGAGCAAAAUUAAUAAAAAAAGAAAGGCGGUCUGACAGUAAUUGAACAAACAUGUAAAAGUACAAAAAUGGUGCCACAUAUGGCUUUAGUGAGCAUGUGUAAGUAAGGGGGGUAGUAAUUACAAAUGUGCAAUGCAAACAAUAUUCAUAAAUAUUUGUUGUCCAUUUGUGCAAUACAUAAAAAUAGAGUAAAAUAAAUAGUAAGUACCAUCUGAG